GCAAAUCCUAGGUACAGUACACGAUCAGAAAGAAUAAGCAAGGGAACAUCUACACCAUAUUACAGCUGAAAUUUUAAGUUUCCAUGCAACCCUACAAGCUACAACUACAAUUCAGUACAAGAAUGAAAGAAGGGUGUCAAAAAUCAAAAAUACCUGGAGCAAACAGUCUAGGCGAACCAUUCCAUUCCAGCCACGCAUCAUUUCCCCAGUGACAGGAUC
rnacentral:lncRNA from 1 species